AACGCAUCUUGCGCUCGCUGGUAUUCCGGCGAGCAUGCCUGUUUGAGUGUCAUGAAAACUUCAACCCUUCAAUUCCUUGUUGAAUUGUAAGGUGCUUGGAUUCUGAACGUUGCUGGCUUGAAGCGGCCUCGGCUGCUUCGAAAGCGUAGCUCGUUCGUAAUACAUUAGCAUCUCAAUUUCGAGUAUUCGGAUUGACUCGGCGUGAUAGACUUUAUUCGCUGAGGACACCUUUACAAGGUGGCCGAUUUUCGAGGUAGAAGCUUCUAAUUUGAUCAAAAGUCACUCUUAUGUUAGACCUCAGAUCAGGCAGGACUACCCGCUGAACUUAA
rnacentral:rRNA from 1 species